rnacentral:rRNA from 1 species
GAUGAACGCUGGCGGCGUGCCUAAUACAUGCAAGUCGAGCGAACAGACGAGGAGCUUGCUCCUCUGACGUUAGCGGCGGACGGGUGAGUAACACGUGGAUAACCUACCUAUAAGACUGGGAUAACUUCGGGAAACCGGAGCUAAUACCGGAUAAUAUAUUGAACCGCAUGGUUCAAUAGUGAAAGACGGUUUUGCUGUCACUUCUACAUGGAUCCGCGCCGCAUUAGCUAGUUGGUAAGGUAACGGCUUACCAAGGCAACGAUGCGUAGCCGACCUGCGAGGGUGAUCGGCCACACUGGAACUGAGACACGGUCCAGACUCCUACGGGAGGCAGCAGUAGGGAAUCUGCCGCAAUGGGCGAAAGCCUGACGGAGCAACGCCGCGUGAGUGAUGAAGGUCUUCGGAUCGUAAAACUCUGUUAUUAGGGAAGAACAAAUGUGUAAGUAACUAUGCACGUCUUGACGGUACCUAAUCAGAAAGCAACGGCUAACUACGUG